CAGCAUAACCUGGCUUAUUCUGAUUGAUAAUGCAGAUGUGACCCACAGAGGAACUCAAGAGUGGUGAAGAAUGUUUGGCGUGCUCUUAAGGGUGACUUAAUUCUGUCCAGUUGCUGACUUCCCAGGACACGGUGCCAGUACUGGAAGCAGAGAUUGUAUUUUACUGCUUGACACAAACAAAACCCUAAUCUGGCCUGAAGGCUCAAAGAAAGACUCUACAGAAACCUUCAGUGGCUGCCACUCCAUCACCCAUGCUAAGCUGUGAUGCUGAUUGGAGGAAGAAACUCAGUCCAUGGGAAAGGCAAGAACAAAG